rnacentral:rRNA from 1 species
UUGACCUCAAAUCAGGUAGGACUACCCGCUGAACUUAAGCAUAUCAAUAAGCGGAGGAAAAGAAACUAACAAGGAUUCCCCUAGUAACUGCGAGUGAAGCGGGAAAAGCUCAAAUUUGAAAUCUGGCAGCUCUCUGAACUGUCCGAGUUGUAAUCUAGAGAAGUGUUACCUGUGCUGGACCGUGUACAAGUCUCCUGGAAUGGAGCGUCACAGAGGGUGAGAAUCCCGUCUUUGACACGGACUGCCUGCACGUUAUGGUGCGCUCUCAAAGAGUCGAGUUGUUUGGGAAUGCAGCUCAAAAUGGGUGGUAAAUGCCAUCUAAAGCUAAAUAUUGGCGAGAGACCGAUAGCGAACAAGUACCGUGAGGGAAAGAUGAAAAGAACUUUGGAAAGAGAGUUAAACAGUACGUGAAAUUGCUGAAAGGGAAACGCUUGAAGUCAGUCGCGUUGGCUAGAAAUCAACCUUGCUUUUGCUUGGUGUACUUUCUUGUUGACGGGUCAGCAUCAAUUUUGACCGUUGGAUAAAGUCUUUGGGAAUGUGGCAUCUCAGGAUGUGUUAUAGCCCAUUGUCGCAUACAGCGGUUGGGAUUGAGGAACUCAGCACGCCCGCAAGGGACGGGUUUUUUGACCACGUUCGUGCUUAGGAUGCUGGCAUAAUGGCUUUAAUCGACCCGU